CUCUUCUGGCCCUCCUCCUUCCCCUUGCUUAGCUUGUACUUUGGACGCCUUUCUGUAGAUGUGACCUGUCUCACCUUUCUAGCCCUGCCCGCUUCCCUGUACCAGAGCCGUGACCUCUCGCAGCCCCCAUCUCUGCUGAAUUCCUGGUGUGGGGGAAGGAGGGGUGCCCCAAGAUUGUGUCUGUGCCCCACCACCUGGAGGUCAGGUCCUCUGGGGCCCAGGCCCACAGCUGUAUGGGCAGCCCAGGGGCAGGACUGGAUGGAUGAGCCGGGCCUGGGCAAGGUGGGGGAGGAGUGGGAGGGGUAGCAUGGGCUUCAGAGACACCCGCACACCUGGGAAAGUCGCAGAAGGCUUUUCCUCAGAUGGCACACUUCCUCCGCUGUCCCUAUUCCUAGGCGUGGGGCUUGGCCUAAGGAUGGGGGGGUGUGCCAGGGAUGGACCCACCAGAGCACAAGGGAAGGUGGCUGUCCUGGGGGCUCCCGGGACACCUGUCAGUGCCUUCAGCCCACCAGCAGGAGCCUGGGGUUUGGGGGGUGGGGAAGAGUCCGUCAAGCACAAUCAUUCUCCAAGUGGAACCAAAGAAGCAAGCAGCCGGGGCCCCCAGCCCUGGCCCCCCAGGAGCACAAUUGGGGUUCCCACAGCCAGGCAGAGCAGGGGGUGCCGCGGAGGAGCAGCGCGUGGAGAUGGGCUGUGGGUUCUGCUGAGCGGGUGGGGCUCAUCGCCGCUCCCGGCGUGGAGCUGCGAGAAAGAUGACGUGGAAGGAGAGGGAGAGAGCCACCUGGUACUUGCGCAGCCGCCGCCUCUUCUGAAAUUCCAUCCCCCUCUGCUUGGGGGGAGUGCAUCGUCUUUCCUUUUGCUUCUCACUUUUGCAUGUUUUUACGGAUUAUUCGAUAUGCUAACCGUUCUCAGCCCUGAGCCUUGAAGAGAGGGGGGCUUCCACCCCUCCUCCACUCAGACUUAGGUGCUCUCUGGAGACGAAACUCUUAAACACUUUGUAUAUUUUCUCAAUUAGAUCUCUUUUCAGAAGUGUCUGUAGAACAAUAAAAAUCUUUUACUUCUGA